CGUAGAUCAUGAAACAACAACAUAUAAAAAGGCUGUUCUGUCGUUUAUAACGUACACACUUUCUAGAAGAAAUUAAGAAGCACCAUAUUUAUAUUAAAACAUGAAUACCGGAUUCGCUGUUAUCGUUGCUUUGUGCUGCUUUGCGAUUGUUCUAUCCGCAAGAACACGCAGAACAACAACACGCAGAACAACAACGGAGUCGCCUAUCCAUCCACCGUGCAGACAUGACAUAGACUGUUGGCCAGUAGUAUGCACUAAGUACGGUGAGGUCCCUGAGUGCCACAGAGCCGCUUCGUCCCCCACGGGCGCCGAGUGCCAUUGCCAUGUACCGGACGAGUGCUGGGUUAACGCAGACUGCGUGCGGGAGUGCGGUCCACACGCCACGUGCGACGACGGGGCAUGCCAUGGAGACUGCAUACACGAUUAAACGAUGUUACCACGCAUUCACUCUGCAUUAUAAUAUUGUUUGAAGACACAUUUUUCCGCCAAUGUUAAUGUUAUAUUUGUCUUUCCAAUAAUUAAAAUCGUGUAGAAUUGAUA